GACGAACGCUGGCGGCGUGCUUAACACAUGCAAGUCGAGCGACUGCAUUCUUUUCGGAGGGUGUAUGGAGCGGCGAACGGGUGAGUAACACGUGAGUAAUCUGCCUUUGGCUUGGGAAUAACUUCGGGAAAUCGGGGCUAAUGCCUGAUGUUUACUGUCUGCUGCAUGGUGGGUGGUGGAAAGAUUUUUUGGCCAGGGAUGAGCUCGCGGUCUAUCAGCUGUUGGUGGGGUGAUGGCCUACCAAGGCGACGACGGGUAGCCGGCCUGAGAGGGCGACCGGCCACACUGGGACUGAGACACGGCCCAGACUCCUACGGGAGGCAGCAGUGGGGAAUCUUGCGCAAUGGGCGAAAGCCUGACGCAGCGACGCCGCGUGAGGGAUGACGGCCU
rnacentral:rRNA from 1 species